rnacentral:lncRNA from 1 species
AAUGACCAGACAACCCGAAGAGCUCAGUUACAGUGAUGAUGAAGGGUUACUUUUCAAAGAGAGGGUGUGUCCCAACAGUUUCUUCCCCCUCGCCGUCUCACUACUGAACAGCUAACCCACUGUAGCAUAUAUAUUUAUCCCUGCACUUCUUGCACUCUCCACUUCUUCUUUGCACUAUUGUUGUGUAACAAUUCACAGCUACUGUAUAUAGCCAUUCCGCCUUGUAUAUACUUUCUUAAACUUCCCUAAGUUUAUGUUUAACUUACUAAAGUUUGUUUUGUAUUGUGUUGUAAUGUAUAUUUUUGUGUAAGCACACUGAGAGCCACUUUACCAAGUCAAAUUCCUAGUUUGUGCAAACUUACUUGGCCAAUAAAACCUGAUUCUGAUUCUGAUUCUGCUACAUUAACAUAUUCAAAUGAAUGGUGUGAUGACUAGAUCAGGUGUACUGGAUUAGAUGGAAUGAUUUUGUUUGAUAGAGGACCCUCAGGAUUGGCUCUGUGGGAAAGACAGGUCAAACUCUGCCACCAUGUAUCUCAACUCUCCAGGAACCGAGAAUGUGUGCAUGUCUUUAAACUUCAUGGGGAAGAAACUCCGCAACCACACCGUCGCUCCAGCUACAAAACCACGUGCUUGGGAGACGACCACCCUGUCUACUUACACGGAUGAAACAGUAGGCCGUGCCAACCUGGUCCGAACGCGUGCUGUUAUGCCCGCUAUGGAGGAUCUGCCGGGCAGCGUGCCAGACCUGAGGGCAGACACCUGGCCGUGCCGGCCAUGUGCCGUACACAACACUCACCUGGACCAGGACGGAGACACAGGUGAACUUGGCUCCAGUAAACCCUGAUAACUACACUAGCUGUACCCUGGAGGUUCAUAAACAUUCCAUACAAACAACUAAACAUCUAAAAACAUACAAGUACAUGCAAAAGUACAUCACAAACUCAAGAAGCCAUAACACAAUAGGAUAAAAAUCCAAUUAGCUAUGCCAAGGUUAAAGAUGCAGUUCUCUGAUUCAAAUGUACACAAUACCUUAACUUCUGAUGGUUCAACUGGCUUAAAGUAAUGUUAUGUACGUUUAAACAAUGAUUCAGAAAUCGUUCAGCUCCUAAAUCUACCCUAAUAUGAAGGGGAUAGCGUCUUUUAGACCACUUUUUUGUUGCAUGUUUUUAUUUGCCCUUCUUGAACAAGACUCGGGGAUGUUAUGGAAUUCUGUUAGAAAAAAAUUAAGCAAUGAGAUUAUAAAAAAAAAACUAUGCUACUGAACUGUCCUGUAACUUGAUGUUGCUUUUUCUGUUUCGCAUAGUUUAUUUAUUCACUGUAAA